AGAGUUUGAUCAUGGCUCAGAUUGAACGCUGGCGGCAUGCUUUACACAUGCAAGUCGAACGGUAACAGGCCGCAAGGUGCUGACGAGUGGCGAACGGGUGAGUAAUGCAUCGGAACGUGCCCAGUCGUGGGGGAUAACGCAGCGAAAGCUGCGCUAAUACCGCAUACGAUCUAUGGAUGAAAGCGGGGGACCGUAAGGCCUCGCGCGAUUGGAGCGGCCGAUGUCAGAUUAGGUAGUUGGUGGGGUAAAGGCUCACCAAGCCGACGAUCUGUAGCUGGUCUGAGAGGACGACCAGCCACACUGGGACUGAGACACGGCCCAGACUCCUACGGGAGGCAGCAGUGGGGAAUUUUGGACAAUGGGCGCAAGCCUGAUCCAGCAAUGCCGCGUGCAGGAAGAAGGCCUUCGGGUUGUAAACUGCUUUUGUACGGAACGAAAAGGCUCUGGUUAAUACCUGGGGCUCAUGACGGUACCGUAAGAAUAAGCACCGGCUAACUACGUGCCAGCAGCCGCGGUAAUACGUAGGGUGCAAGCGUUAAUCGGAAUUACUGGGCGUAAAGCGUGCGCAGGCGGUUUUGUAAGACAGGCGUGAAAUCCCCGGGCUUAACCUGGGAAUUGCGCUUGUGACUGCAAGGCUGGAGUGCGGCAGAGGGGGAUGGAAUUCCGCGUGUAGCAGUGAAAUGCGUAGAUAUGCGGAGGA
rnacentral:rRNA from 1 species